GAUGAACGCUGGCGGCGUGCCUAAUACAUGCAAGUCGAGCGAACAGACGAGGAGCUUGCUCCUCUGACGUUAGCGGCGGACGGGUGAGUAACACGUGGAUAACCUACCUAUAAGACUGGGAUAACUUCGGGAAACCGGAGCUAAUACCGGAUAAUAUAUUGAACCGCAUGGUUCAAUAGUGAAAGACGGUUUUGCUGUCACUUAUAGAUGGAUCCGCGCCGCAUUAGCUAGUUGGUAAGGUAACGGCUUACCAAGGCAACGAUGCGUAGCCGACCUGAGAGGGUGAUCGGCCACACUGGAACUUAGGAACGGUCCAGACUCCUACGGGGAGCAGCAGUAGGGAAUCUUCCGGAAUGGGCGAAAGCCUGACGGAGCAAAGCCGCGGGAGUGAUGAAGGUCUUCGGAUCGUAAAACUCUGUUAUUAGGGAAGAACAAAUGUGUAAGUAACUAUGCACGUCUUGACGGUACCUAAUCAGAAAGCCACGGCUAACUACGUG
rnacentral:rRNA from 1 species